UAACACGUGGGUAACCUGCCUCGUAGAGGGGGAUAGCCUUCCGAAAGGAAGAUUAAUACCGCAUAAUAUAGUUUAGCCGCAUGGCUGAAUUAUCAAAGGAGUAAUCCGCUAUGAGAUGGACCCGCGGCGCAUUAGCUAGUUGGUGAGGUAACGGCUCACCAAGGCGACGAUGCGUAGCCGACCUGAGAGGGUGAUCGGCCACAUUGGAACUGAGAUACGGUCCAA
rnacentral:rRNA from 1 species